UACGUAGGGGGCAAGCGUUGUCCGGAAUCAUUGGGCGUAAAGCGCGUGUAGGCGGCUCGAUAAGUCUGCUGUAAAAGUCCAGGGCUCAACCCUGGAAAGCCGGUGGAAACUGUCGAGCUAGAGUCCGGAAGAGGCGAGUGGAAUUCCUGGUGGUAGCGGUGAAAUGCGCAGAUAUCAGGAGGAACACCAAUGGCGAAGGCAGCUCGCUGGGACGGUACUGACGCUGAGACGCGAAAGCGUGGGGAGCAAACAGG
rnacentral:rRNA from 1 species